rnacentral:rRNA from 1 species
CUGGACUAGAAUGUGAGGGAAGUUCGUCUAAUAGCGAACGUCUGGGAAACCAGACCCAAAACAAGGUGCUGCAUGGCUGUCGUCAGCUCGUGUCGUGAGAUGUUGGGUUAAGUCCCGCAACGAGCGCAACCCUUAUCGAUAGUUGCUAGCGGUUCGGCCGAGCACUCUAUUGAGACUGCCGUUGACAAAACGGAGGAAGGUGGGGAUGACGUCAAGUCCUCAUGGCCUUUAUGUCCAGGGCUACACACGUGCUACAAUGGCCGGUACAAAACGUCGCAAUCCCGUAAGGGGGAGCUAAUCGCAAAAACCGGUCUCAGUUCGGAUUGAAGUCUGCAACUCGACUUCAUGAAGUUGGAAUCGCUAGUAAUCGCGGAUCAGAACGCCGCGGUGAAUACGUUCCC